CUUUCUUUCAUACUCUGUAGUCGAGAGCCAUCACGGCUGGGGAAUCCCGGUGUUCACUCACCGCUGUCUCUUUUCCCCUUGGGAGGGAUUCUCAGCCUCCUUCUUAUCUAAGCUGUGCCACCUUGAGGGAGGGGUGAUGCUUGUAAAAUUCCUCUUACCCGUUUCAGUGGGUUUUUUUUGUUGUUGUUUGUUUUUUUGCUCCUACGGAGUUCUAGAACUUCUUUAGAAACCUGAACAUCUAUAAAGGCUCUCUUGUCCAGAUGUAUCUGUGCAAGCCAGCAUUUUGCAGAGGUUGGAGCCUGUUCCACAGUUUUAUUGGGGUAUAUCUGCCUGUUACCCAAUGCAGAGGUACUCUUCCUGAGUACCUUGGUGUGUGGUGAUGCGUACCACAGCUCCCACAGAGGCACUUUUGCUCACGGAUAGAUGCCAAAUUUUAGAAGUUAAAGAGGGGACAGAGAUCACGGGUGUCUUAUGGAACCAAAAUAUUACUCUGGCAGGCUCAGAAGAAGUGGAGUUUUAGGAAGAAUAAUUCCUUGGGCUUUGAAGAAGUCUGAGUAGAAAUUCUGAAAUCUGUCCCAGGGAACAGCCAUGUUGGUGCUCCUUCUGCUGCUGUUUUUUUUGUUUACCCCACAGGUAAUUCUGAUACACUGCUUUGUAAGCUGGGCCUGUGUUGUAAAAUAAACAUUUUUAAAAUUAUAUUUACCCUUCAGCAAGUGUAGAUGGAUGGGUAAAAAUUCUCUUUCAAAAGUUACUAUGGUCAUAGCCAAGCAAAAAUACAGAUUUCAGCCUCAAUCUUUUUCUCUUGAUGGGUUAGUGCUUUAAUUUGUUUAGCAGUGUCUCCAGCAGUUUCUAAAGUGCCUUUUUCAGGGACUUCCCUCGUGGUGCAGUGGUUAAGAAUCUG